rnacentral:tRNA from 1 species
GCCUGGGUGGCUGAGUCGGUUAAGCAUCCGACUUCAGCUCGGGUCAUGAUCUUGUGGUCCGUUAGUUCGAGCCCCACAUCGGGCU